UACGGAGGAUGCAAGCGUUAUCCGGAUUUAUUGGGUUUAAAGGGUACGUAGGUGGCCUUGUAAGUCAGUGGUGAAAUCCUGCCGCUUAACGGUAGAACUGCCAUUGAUACUGCAGGGCUUGAGUACAGUUGAGGUAGGCGGAAUGUGUAGUGUAGCGGUGAAAUGCUUAGAUAUUACACAGAACCCCGAUUGCGAAGGCAGCUUACUAAACUGUAACUGACACUGAGGUACGAAAGCGUGGGGAGCGAACAGG
rnacentral:rRNA from 1 species